GCCUCAGAGUCUUACCCCACCCACGUAUCAAUUUUAAAAACUGCAACAUUGGUAGGCGUUGCCUGGAGGACCGAGAGGGCGGAGCCGCGGCAGUGACGAAGACGACGGCUAACUAGACGAAGCUAGCUCCCUUCACUCUGAGCAGUUAUUAGAAGUGGAGGACGUUUCUCCCCCUCCUUACCCAGACACUCGAGAAGAAAGGGACCAAGUCUAAUUGGAGGAGACAAGCGGACAUGAGCCUUAUUGUUUUGAGCUUGUGAGUUGCCUGAAAUUACCGGAACCGACCCAACAGAACCAUCUCUGAAUGUGAUCAUCUGGUGUCUGCAGCUGGUCUCCUGCUGGUGUCGUCAGGAUCAGGAGCUUCCAGAAGAAUGUGCCUUUCAAUGACUCUUUCCCCCUUAUUUGUUAUAUUAAUUAAAUAAAUCUCAAUUUAUAUA